rnacentral:rRNA from 1 species
AGAGUUUGAUCCUGGCUCAGGACGAACGCUGGCGGCGCGCCUAACACAUGCAAGUCGAGCGAGAACCAGGGCUUCGGCCCUGGGGACAGCGGCGAACGGGUGAGUAACACGUGGAUAACCUGCCCUCGGCACCGGAAUAGCCCGGGGAAACCCGGAUUAAUGCCGGAUUGCCCCACAUCCCUGCGGGGAACGUGGGAAAAGGUAGCUUCGGCCUCUGGCCGAGGAUGGGUCCGCGGUGGAUUAGCUUGUUGGCGGGGUAACGGCCCACCAAGGCGACGAUCCAUAGCUGGUCUGAGAGGACGAUCAGCCACACUGGGACUGAGACACGGCCCAGACUCCUACGGGAGGCAGCAGUGGGGAAUCUUGCGCAAUGGGCGAAAGCCUGACGCAGCGACGCCGCGUGCGGGAAGAAGGCCUUCGGGUUGUAAACCGCUUUCAGGAGGGACGAAGCCACUCGGGUUAAUAGCCCAGAGGGUGACGGUACCUCCAGAAGAAGCCCCGGCUAACUACGUGCCAGCAGCCGCGGUAAUACGUAGGGGGCAAGCGUUGUCCGGAUUCAUUGGGCGUAAAGAGCGUGUAGGCGGUCCGGUAAGUCGGCUGUGAAAGUCCAGGGCUCAACCCUGGGAUGCCGGUCGAUACUGCCGGACUAGAGUUCGGAAGAGGCGAGUGGAAUUCCCGGUGUAGCGGUGAAAUGCGCAGAUAUCGGGAGGAACACCUAUGGCGAAGGCAGCUCGCUGGGACGUUACUGACGCUGAGACGCGAAAGCGUGGGGAGCAAACAGGAUUAGAUACCCUGGUAGUCCACGCCGUAAACGAUGGGCACUAGGUGUGGGUCUCACCAACGAGAUCCGCGCCGUC